rnacentral:rRNA from 1 species
GCAGAGCAUCCUACGGGAGGCAGCAGUGGGGAAUAUUGCACAAUGGGCGCAAGCCUGAUGCAGCCAUGCCGCGUGUAUGAAGAAGGCCUUCGGGUUGUAAAGUACUUUCAGCAGUGAGGAAGGUGGGUAUGUUAAUAGCAUACUCAUUUGACGUUAGCUGCAGAAGAAGCACCGGCUAACUCCGUGCCAGCAGCCGCGGUAAUACGGAGGGUGCGAGCGUUAAUCGGAAUUACUGGGCGUAAAGCGCAUGCAGGUGGUUUGUUAAGUCAGAUGUGAAAGCCCGGGGCUCAACCUCGGAAUUGCAUUUGAAACUGGCAAACUAGAGUACUGUAGAGGGGGUAGAAUUUCAGGUGUAGCGGUGAAAUGCGUAGAGAUCUGAAGGAAUACCGGUGGCGAAGGCGGCCCCCUGGACAGAUACUGACACUCAGAUGCGAAAGCGUGGGGAGCAAACAGGAUUAGAUACCCCGGUAG